UAUUUUCCAAGGCUACAUUUGCAUUUGGAUUAUUAUUUAUCAUUUCUCUUAUGUUGUACAGUGAGAACAAAAGAUUGCCCCCACAACAAUCGGGAUGUGCACCCAUACCGUGGGAUAAUACGGACAAGGCAGAGAAAGGGGAAGACCGAACUCCUGUACGACUGGAUGCCCUGCGAUCUAUGCGGGAAAACCUGGCCUCCAACCUGGCAGAUGGCUUAAUUGAAAAUUGAUCCUUGAC